UGGGGAAUUUUGGACAAUGGGCGCAAGCCUGAUCCAGCAAUGCCGCGUGAGUGAAGAAGGCCUUCGGGUUGUAAAGCUCUUUCAGUCGAGAAGAAAAGGUUGUGACUAAUAAUCAUAACUCAUGACGGUAUCGACAGAAGAAGCACCGGCUAACUACGUGCCAGCAGCCGCGGUAAUACGUAGGGUGCGAGCGUUAAUCGGAAUUACUGGGCGUAAAGGGUGCGCAGGCGGUUCUGUAAGUCAGAUGUGAAAUCCCCGGGCUUAACCUGGGAACUGCGUUUGAAACUACAGAGCUAGAGUGUGGCAGAGGGGGGUGGAAUUCCAUGUGUAGCAGUGAAAUGCGUAGAGAUAUGGAAGAACAUCGAUGGCGAAGGCAGCCCCCUGGGUUAACACUGACGCUCAUGCACGAAAGCGUGGGGAGCAAACAGGAUUAGAUACCCUGGUAGUCCACGCCCUAAACUAUGUCAACUAGUUGUCGGGUCUUAUUAGACUUGGUAACGUAGCUAACGCGUGAAGUUGACCGCCUGGGGAGUACGGUCGCAAGAUUA
rnacentral:rRNA from 1 species